rnacentral:lncRNA from 1 species
AUUCUUCUAUCUCUUUUUCUUUUCUUUUCUUUUAUAAAUAUAAAUAAAAAAAUAGAAGACAAACAAAAAAAAAUUAAAACCGGAGGAUUAUCACUAAUAAUAAGAGAUAAAGAUACACAUAUCAACACAAUUAAAAAAAUCAGUUAACGAAAAUAAAGAUGAAGAAGAGAAGUGAGAGUAAGGGAGUUGAAUUAGAAAUUU